UUUUCGAUACAAGUCCAAUAAUGAAAGUUUUUAUUUUUGGACGACGAGUGAAUAGUAAAUCGGGAUUUCUCGAUAAACGAACCGAGCUCGUUUAUCAGAAUUUUGAGAACGAGCUUGCGUUUUCUAUAUUUAUAUAGAAUUACGAGUGCAAUGAAAGUGAGUAGAGGUUGAGAGGGCGAGUAACAAAGAGUAUGGGUUGUUAGUUGUUAAAACGAGACGAGACGAGAUAUUUAACGACUAACGGGUUAAUAUCCUAAAUAUCUAACCUACCCUACCCCUAACCACCCCCAAACCUCCCAAAACCCCUUUCCCCUCACUAACUCACGCUAUAUCAGCCCACACCACACACACAACUCACAUAUUCACACACACAACACCUAAAACACACACUACACACGCCAUUUUCCAUUUAAGCUUGGACGGAGCUUUUGACCUCCGAUUUGAGCACCGAGACGAGCGCCGAUCAUCUUUUCGAUCAUGUAUCUAAGUAGGUCCUUUUGGGAAGUAACGACUUGAGGGAGAGAGUGACGUUACUCAUUGAUACAGAGACACAACGAGGUUGAGCUGAUGUGAUGAUGGUGCUGCAAUGAGCGGAGUCUCCAGGGUUGUUAAUAAAUAGUUAACCUGUCUAGAAUAUGUCUUCAUACAUAUGUCUAGCUACUUUCCGCUGCAAGAUGUUGUUGAUGUUAUAGUAUGUUAUGUCAUACUUUGAGUCUUAAGAGAAUGGUUGCAUAUGAUGUAUAACUUGAUUAAUGAUAUUAAUUAACUUUUAUGCAGUCUUUCAUAGACUGUUUUCAAUUGAGUAUUAAUGAAUAAAAAUGACGAGUUUUAUUAA